CAUCAAUUACCAACACGCAUUUAUGUAAUUGGAAGUGUCAUCUCAUAUGAGAUAUUUAAAUAAAAUUGUUCUGAGGAGGGCCCCCACCAGGGCCGAAACGUUAACACGAUAAAAAGUGUUUUGAGUUGUGACCUUCAUAUCCAAGAAUAACUUUAAUCAACAAAUCUCCAAGGUCAAGAUAAAUCAUCUUCA